CGUUAAGGUGGGCACUCUAGGCUGACUGCCGGUGACAAACCGGAGGAAGGCGGGGAUGACGUCAAAUCAUCAUGCCCCUUAUGACCUGGGCUACACACGUACUACAAUGGCCGGUACAACGGGUUGCGAAGCCGCGAGGCGGAGCCAAUCCCAGCAAAGCCGGUCUCAGUUCGGAUUGCAGGCUGCAACUCGCCUGCAUGAAGUCGGAAUUGCUAGUAAUCGCGGAUCAGCAUGCCGCGGUGAAUACGUUCCCGGGUCUUGUACACACCGCCCGUCACACCACGAGAGUUUACAACACCCGAAGCCGGUGGGGUAACCGCAAGGAGCCAGCCGUCGAAGGUGGGGUAGAUGAUUGGGGUGAAGUCGUAACAAGGUAGCCGUAUCGGAAGGUGCGGCUGGAUCACCUCCUUUCUAAGGAG
rnacentral:rRNA from 1 species